GGUCUGGUGGUGUAGUUGGUUAUCACGUCAGUCUAACAGCUCGAGGUCGUUUCACGAUGGCCUCACUGCACACUGAAGGUCUCCGGUUUAAGUCCGGGCUAGAUCA
rnacentral:tRNA from 1 species